ACUUGAUUAUUUACAGACCGCCGUCAUAUAGCUGGAAUACUGCUGAGAGCGGCGUUAAACAACAAACAAACAAACACUGACAUACACUGAGUAUAUGGGAUUGUUUUGUUUCAUGGUAAACUAGCAAUAUGAAAUUGUACAUAUAUUUGUGUUGCUUUUUGUAAUAUUUUUGAUAAAACUGAAAUGCAUGUAAAAGGCCAUUGGCUACAGUCUAUGAGAUUUGUGUAGCUUGUGGCAACAUUAUCUGUACGCCCUUGUAAAACCGACAUUAAUCUGCUAGCUCAAGGGUAUUAAAUUGUGCCGAGGACAAUUCAAGACUGGUAACAUCUGAUAGCAAUAGCUCGUUGACAGUUCUCCAGGCUUGGAUUUUACUCCAGGACUUGCUACAGACUUGAUGACGAGGGAUAUUAGUUUUGUGAAAGUCCUGUGGACUAGUCCUAAAUGAAAUGGGUUUUCUAAGGUUGGAUAUAUCAGUCAUCUUGUCAUCAUUGUAUCACAAUUGUGUGGGGCAUGCUCAUGAUGUCAACCACUGGAUUGUCUGGACCAGACUAUAUUUACAGGUCGUUGUCAUACAGCUAGCAUGUUGCUGGCUGCAUCUAAACAACAUCCUAGAAGUCAUAAGUAACAAAUGUUAUGUUAGGAAUAACACAUUCUUAGUCAAGUGCAAAUUCUAGUACUUUCUUGGGUUAAAUUCCCAAAUCCAAAUUUGAUCUAGACUACCAGUUGUCAGAUUCCAUUUCGUGGAAUCAUAGGUGGUUGAGAGGGUUAGAUUGCUAACUGUUAGAUGUCAAAUAGGUGCCUCACUCUGAGAGUGGGUUUGAAUCCCAGAUGGGACUCAACCCCCAACAGAUCUAGAAUCCUUACUUUACUGAGAAAGUGUUGUCCCAAAUAUAACUUUUGUUAAAUAAAGAAGUUAUCCAUAAAAGUUUGAUGUCUUGGAAAUAUAGUAUGAAUAAAAUAUGUACGAAAGA